rnacentral:lncRNA from 1 species
UUCCAAGGUCUGGGGUCUCCUGAUCCUAAGCCCUAGACCAUCACCUAAUCACCCUUACCCGUCUUGUUGCUUAACAACAACGACACCAGCACAGAUACAUUUGAGUGGCACCAGCGCAGGUGCUUUUCACAUGGCACCAGCACUCCUGAGCCCACAAGAUUAGGACUGCUCAGCUGGAAAGGAAUGCCGAGGACAACCAUGGUUUCACUUAGCUUGAUGCAUCUAUCUAGAAAAAACAUGUAUAGAAUCUCCUGUCUGUAAUUCUUCAGACAAAGAUUAAAACAUAACUCCUGACUUAUAAUUAAGUACAUGUAACAUGUAAUUACUCUGCAAGUUGAAUUCAUAAAAAAUUUCAGUCACUGCGUAUAACACAUUUAAAAUAAAACAUCUAUGUACAUACGCAGGCUUACUGUGAACAUGCAGAUGUACUUCACAAAGAUACAGCUUGGAUUAUAUAUAUAUAUAUAUAUAGAAUGCAUCAUCAUCAUCACUUAGCUUCCACUUUCCAUGCUGGCAUGGGUUGGAUGGUUUGACAGAACUGGCAAGACAGGAGGCUGCACCAGGUUCCAAUCUGAUUUGGCAAGGUUUUUAAGCUGGAUACUCUUCCUAAUACCAACCACUCCAAGAGUAUUAGUGUGUGCUUUUACGUGCCACCAGCAUGGGAGCCAGCCAGGCAGCACUGGCAUCAGUCAUGCUUGAAUGGUGUUUUUACAUGCCACUGGUACAGGUGCCAGUCAGGUGGCACUGGCAUCAGCCAUGACUAUGAUCUCACUUGGUUCAGCAGGUCUUACGAGUACAGCAUAUUGCCCAAUGAUUUAAGGGUGCUUUUAAACAGCCAGAUAUGCAACAUAUAUAUAUAUAUAUAUAUAAUUAUAAUUUAGGGUAUCUAAGAGAUACUACCACGCUGGAAAUAGCAGCCCAAACUUGAUUCUAAAACCACAUUAAAUGUUCAUAUAGCACAUUCUUCUCUCCUGGUGCUGUAUCAACAUUUAAUGUGUUUUUAGAGUCAAGUUUUGGCUGCUAUUUCCAGCGUGGUAGUAUCUCUUAGAUACCCUAAAUUAUAAUUUUAAUAAUAAUUAACUUUGAAGGUUUUUAUUCCCAUGCUGACCACCUGAUAAGUUUGGUAUUUAAAUAAUGAUCUUAUUCUUAUAUAUAAUAUAUAUAUAUAUAUAUAUAUAUAUAUAUAUAUAUAUAUAUAUAUAUAUAGGGUCAUCCCAUAAAUAAUGCACUUUUUUUACUUUUUAUUUUUAAGUCUAAAAAUAUACUCUCCUUCAUUUUCUACAAUGUUCUUCCAUUUAUCUGGUAGACUUUGACUUUCAAGGCCUCUCUUCCAAAAUUCACUUGUCCUUGAUGAAAAAUACUCUCCCAGUACUGUUCUGACCUUGUCUACAGAAUUCAUAUUUUUUCUGUCCAAAUGAUUUUGAAGACUGCGGAAUAAAAGAUAAUCAGAUGGGGCAGUGUCCGGUAAAUAUGGUGGGUAGGGCAUCGUUUCCCAUUCACACUGCUCCAGCUUUUGGAAUGUUAUCUUCGCUGUAUGUGACCAAGCAAUCCUGAUGGAAGAAAACUAUUCGUCUUGAUACCAAAGAUGGACGUUUUUCUUCUAGCACUGACCUGAGCUGCUCAAGCUCCUUUGUUAUCAUUUGAUUUGGGUUUAAAAGUUCAAAGUGGACUAAACCUUUCAUAUCCCACCAAACAGAUAACAACACCUUACAUGGGUGAAGACUUUCUCUGGCCUGGGGUGCCGGUGUUUCUCUUUUCCUAACCCAUUGUCUUCAGUGCUUUCACAUUUUUAUAGAGAACUCAUAUUUGAUCCAAAAAAGGUUCAUUUGUGAGACAUGACUGCAAAGAAAAGCACACAUUCACUCUUUGCAUGUGAUUAGACUUAGAAAGUUUAUGAGGAAGCCAUUGACUCAAUUUGCUGACUUUUCCGAUGUCAAUGAAUGGCUGAAUGACCAAAUCCACACUUCUCUGCUAGUUCCUCAACAGUUACAAUGGAAUUUUUUUUUUCCACCAGGGUUUGCAGGAUGUCCUCAUUGAGUUCUACAGAUCUUCCAGGAUGAGGCUCGUCUUCUAGGCUGUAGUUUCCGGCUUGAAAUUUCUGGAACUACCAUUGACACUGGCUUACACUUAUUGUCCGAUCCCCAUAUACUACAUUAAUAUUCCUCACAAUUUCCGUUGCAUUGUUGCCUUUAUUGAACUCCUAAAGCAAAAUAUGCCAAAUAUACUCCUUUGUCACUUCCAUUAUAGCUUUGGAAAAAUAACAGUUAAAAUUGGACUGCACUCUUCAAAACUUGCACUAAGAAUAAGUACAAGGUAAAAUUACUACCUGCUUUUAUAGCAAGUUGAUACAGGUAGUUUAUCCCAUCCCCCUCUGUUUAUGCAAUCGAAGAAACAAAAUUAUUUAUGGGAUGACCCAAUUUAUAUAUAUAUAUAUAUAUAUAUAUAUAUAUAUAUAUAUCAUCAUCAUCAUCAUUUAGCGUCUGCUUUCCAUGCUAGCAUGGGUUGGACGGUUCAACUGGGGUCUGUGAAGCCAGUAGGCUGCACCAGGCCUAGUCUGAUCUGGCAGUGUUUCUAUGGCUGGAUGCCUUUCCUAGCGCCAACCACUCCGUGAGUGUAGUGGGUGCUUUUUACAUGCCACCGGCACAGGGCCAGGCGAGGCUGGCAACGGCCACGAACGGAUGGUGCUUUUUACGUGCCACCGGCACGAGGCCAGUCGGGGCAGCGCUGUUAAUGGCCACGAACGGAUGGUGGUGUCAGACGAGUCUGGCAAAUGGCCACAAACGGAUGGUGCUUUUUUUACGUGCCACCGGCACGGGGGCCAGGAGAGGCUGGCAAUGGCCACAAACGGAUGGUGCUUUUUACGUGCCACCGGCACGAGGCCAGUCUGAGCAGCGCUGGCAACGGCCACAUUCAGAUGGCUCUCUUACGUGCCACCGGCACUGGUAACUCAGCUGCAAUUUCCAUUAAUCGAUUUCGAUUCUGAUUUCCACUUGCCUCAACAGGUCUUCACAAGUAGAGUUUUGUGUCCCAAGAAGGGAAGGUAUGCAUAAGUGGGCUGGCUACAUCCCAUGUAGAAGGCCAUGGGUUAUGGUCUCACUUGUCCUGCAUGAAUGUAUAUAUAUAUAUAUGAUACAAUAUAUAUUUCAUAUGAUGUAAUACAAUAUGUAAUCUAGACACACACUACAGUACUGGGGUUAAUGAAAGAUAUGAACCACUAACCCUCUCAGAUGGUUGUUUGCUGCCCCUUCUGCCCUAUUGUUUCUGUAACCUACUAACGAGGACCUGGUUCAGUUUACCACCCAUACUUUUUUUAGUGUACAUGAGUGUAUAUGUAUAUAUAUAUAUAUAUAUAUAUACAUGUGUGUGUGUCUUAUGUGGAGUGGGUCAUGGGUCCAUAUGUGUUUUAUUUACAUGCAUGUGCUUGUAUCUGAACAUGUGUGUAUGUUUGUGUACACACACACACACAUGCAUGCAAGCAUACACAUACACACUUACAUACCUGUGUGUGUGUUUACACACACAUAUAAGUUUGGUGCUACAAAUCACAACCUAACCUUUUGCACCAUUUGUAAAGAGACCAUUUAUAACUAAUAAAGAAAUAUAUAUGUACACGCACACAUAUACAUAUAUACAUACAUACAUACAUGCCUACAUACAUACAUACAUACAUACAUACAUGUGCGUGUAUACAUAUAUACACACACACACGCACACACAUACACAUAUCCUAUUAUAAAUUUGAGUAAUGUUUCUCUGUCUGUUACAUUUUUAUGUUCCUUAAUUCUUCUUAGACCAUUGGUGCAAAGACAAUGAAACUCAAACUACUAACUCCCUUAACCCCAGAGAAUGUCCUAAGGAGGUCUUUUUUUAAGGGCUACCUAAUUGGGGCUCCAAUGACCCCCCCACACACACACACACACAUUUUUACUGCAUUUUAAACUAGAUACAUGGCAUUGGUGACCAAGUCGGAGCAAUGGCAAUGAAUUUCAUACCAUGAACACCCAGGGAGUAUCAUAAGAAGGUUCAAUUUCUGAAGACCCACUUAAAUAAGGCCCCACUGACCCCCACUAUUUUUACUGCAUUUACCUUGCUCCUACGCUUAUUAAUCAGCAUCAGUGCUUAGCACAUUUGCAGAAAUAGGUUUGCGCAUUCUAAAUACCUUCAGAUUCCUUCAAAUCAAGAUGAAGUUUUAUAACAGGUACGUUUCAGGUGUGGUAAUGUGGUUAUUUAUAUUUUGUAGUUUAUGAAACUUACGUCUAGUGAUUAUAUAUUUACAUUGGAUCAGUUUCCCAUGUAAAGACCAAUUCCAGUGUUAUCACUAAACAAAUGAUUCCUCCUAUACGAAGGAACAUAUAUUUGUAAAGAGAUAUGGAUGAAGACGAUAGGCAUUUCUUCCACAGUUGCCCAACCCUAGUAUAUAUAUAUAUAUAUAUAUAUAUAUAUAUCUUUAUAUAUAAAAGAGAGGUUGUGUGUCUGUCUCCUAUGAUUUAGAUUCCUAACUACUCCCACAUUUUGCGGUGCAGUUUAACCAAAACCGGGUAUCUUAUAGUCGUGAUUCAUAUCGAGCCCUUCUGGGUAUUAGCGCGCAUCUACGAUGAGUCUACGAUUUUAAAAAAAAUUUACCAUCAUUUUUUUCCAUUUUAAUGCAUUUUUUUCGCUAUUUUUUGGCUAUAACUCUCUAAAAAUGCUUAUAUAGUUAUUUCCCUUACAAACCCGAGCAACGCCGGGCGAUACUGCUAGUAUAUAUAUAUAUAUAUAUAUAUAUAUAAUUAUUAUCAUUAUCAUCAUCAUUUAACGUCCAUUUUCCAUGCUGUCAUGGGUUGGACAGUUCGACUGGGGUCUGGGAAGCCAGGAGGCUGCACCAGGCUCCUGUCUGAUUUGGCAGUGUUUCUACAGCUGGAUGCUCUUCCUAAUGCCAACCACUCUGAGAGUGUAGUGGGUGCUUUUUUUACUUGUCACUGGCACAGGGGCCAGAGGAGGCUGCAUCGACCACAACCGGAUGAUGCUUUUUAUGUGCCACUGGCAUGGAAGCCAGUCUAGGCGGUGCUGGCAUCGGCCACAUUCAGAUGGUUCUUUUUAUGUGCCAUCGGCACAGGGAUCACAACUACAAUUUCCAUUUCAUUGUGAUUUGAUUUGAUUUAUAUAUAUAUAUAUAUAUAUAUACAUAUACCAGUGCCACGCAAAAUGCACUUUUCCAUGUGAAAAGCAACCAGUACUCUCUGGAAAGUUGUUGGCUUUAGUAAGAACAUCUCAGCUAUUGAAACCAUGCCAAUGAGUUAAUGAAACCUGAAGCAGCUCCUGCCAAACCAUCCAACCCAUGUGAGUAUGGAAAACAGACAUUAAUUGAUGAAAAAGAAACAGAUGUAACUUGACUAUUUGAAUAAUAUAUGUGGAUACCUUUAUCAUCAUUUUGACGGCAGUUUUUCCAUGUGUGUAGCUCUGAUGGAAUAUGUUGGGGCAGAUUCUCUACAGGUAGACACUCUCUCUGUCACCAACCUUCAUCUGUUUUACAAGCAAGGUAAUAUUUGUAUACGUUGGGGGAGAGAGUGAGAGGUUUUAUUGUGUGUGCGCGCGCGCGCGUGAACGUGUGUGUGUGUGUGUGUUUGUGUGUAUGUGUGAAUGUGUAAUGCUUGUGUGUAACCCCCACCUUGUAACAUCAAAAGAAACUUACACGAUGAUAAUGAAGGUUAUGAAGGGGGGGUGUCAUGGUAGGAAGGGUGAUGAGUUGAUGGUAGUUAUGUUUUGGUGUCCCAGAUGAUUGUCAUGAUACUAGUUGUGGUGAUGAUGAUUAUGAUGGUGGUGGUGGUGGUGGUGGUGGUGAUGAUGAUGAUGGUGAUGAUGAUGAUGAAAGUGAGGCUUCUUUGUGUGGGAGUUGAAAGGGUACAGGACAACCCACACCAGCGCAUACACUUCUGACAUUUAUGACACUGACAUUAUCAGACAAACACUGUUGACCUUUGACAUACACCACCACCACCACCAUCACCAACAACAACUCAAGAAGUAUCUACUUGGUUGCUCGACCUGCUAGACAUAGCAGCUAAAUCACUCUCAUAUUAUGCACUACCAUUUAUCCUUAAAUAUACAUUGGAUGGUGUAGUUCUUGACAUAUUAAAUCUGAAUGAAUGACAGGAUGGGCAUGAUUGGAAUGCCCUUGAUCAUGAAUCUAUCAUUAUCAAUCUGAGCCUACCUGAGUCUGCACAACAACAUAACCUCCACCAUGACAACUACUAACAAUAGCACCUCUGUGCGGUUACUUGAUUUGCUACAAAUAACAGCUAAGUCUACCUCUAACCACACUCUAGUACCUAAACAAUGGAUAUGUCAGCUUGGGUGGUACAGGUUGGAUUGUUUGUUAACAAAAUAAUGGGAUGAUCUUGGUUGGAAUGCAUCAUUAGUCAUAAGUCUGCUUGCUGGUUCAGAACUAACUCAGGGUUAAACAACAACCUCUAGAUGUCCGUCUUGCAGUGUAAACAAAUAAUCUGAUCGUCAAGUCAAACUUAAUAUAAAAAAAUUAAUUGUUUCCUUCUUGGGCCAGACUCAUAAGGACCAAUUUCCUGGUUUCCAUGGCAUAUAAAUUCCCUCACCUGGACAGGAUGCCAAUCCGUCACAGCAUUACUCAUAUUUGCCAGCUGAGUGGACUGGAUUAAUGUGGAAUGAAGUGUUUUGCUCAAAAAAACAACACAUCGCCUGGUUCAGGAAUUGAAACCACAAUCUUAUGAUCAUCAGUCCAACACCCUAACCACUAAGCCACAUGCCUCCACAAACUUAAUAUAAUUGUGUGCAAAAAGAAUGGCACUUUUCCCUGGGGUUCUGUGAGUUUUACAAUAUUGUACUACUGUUGUGCCAUUGUAAUAUUGUGUUACUACAAUCCAGAUUCUGUAAAAUGUUGCUCUUCUGGUGUCCACCUUCAGGGUGCCAAACUCAAUUCCUUAUAAAUUGAUAUAUAAUUGAUAGGAUCUUUUCAGUUUGAACGGCAGUUUUUUCUAGCGGUGUCAUAUGAAAUUGUCACCCAUAAUUAUGACCCUAGUAUCGAUCUAUUGCAUUUCAAUCUGUUUUAGGGUUACGGUUAGUUAGGGUUGGUUAGGGUUAGGGGUGGGGGGAAGGGUAUCUUUUUUUCUUCACAAAUGUAAAUAAACCCAAUCUGUUUCUUAAACGAGGGACAUAUCCAUAUGGCACAGAAUGUUUUCACUUCAAUGGACGUCAUUGAUUGGUUGAAAUUGCAGAAAUUGAAGAAAUAAAAACAACAUAUAUCUUACAAACUAUAGAAUUUUCUCAAUAAAGCCAAGAGAAAAAGAUCUUUUAUAAACACAUUCUACCAGUAUACGAAGUUUAAAAUUUUUUAGUUACCUAGAAAUUAUGUUAAAAACUGCCAUUCAAACCGAAAAGAUCCAAUUGAUAUGGAGCAAAGCCAUAGAGAUGACAUCAUUGACCUUGUAUUUUUUUUUUAAUUCUUCAGCAUGUCAGUCAUUAUUAUUCGUUGAAAUUAAUUUAAGACUG